ACAGCGGAGAAUUAAGGAUGAGAGCUCUGAUUGAACAGAUCUCACUGCUAGUACUGUGCAGUCUCUUCAGUACAUGGCUCUGUUUACUGAUACAUGGGGGUUUCUCAUUGUUGCCUAGGUUGCCUGAUGCACUGAGAAAGGCAAUGAGACCUGUUCAGUAUGAAUUCACGGUUUUGUGGACUGAAGACCUCACAUAUUGCAAUCACCUCUCUUCAAGAUCCACAUUUCCCUGAAAAUCAGUUGAAAAUUGCAGAAGGUACACCCAGGUAAAAAGUUUGCUAAGCCACUAUUUUAUUUCAGUAUGGUAGACU
rnacentral:lncRNA from 1 species